rnacentral:rRNA from 1 species
UGACCUCGGAUCAGGUAGAUGCCCGAUUC